GGUCCACUGCGGUCAUGAAGGGAUGGACAUGGUCAGCGACAAUACUCAGAGGAUCCGCAGACAGCCAACCCGCUCCAGUCACCUCUGCAGUCAGUCGGAGGCGUUGCUGUGAUGUGCUCGGCUGCUCCGACUCAAAGGAUUAUUGAACAGUUUGAUGCCAGGACAAGGACCGCGAGAGGAAUGACAGUCCGUUGCAGACGUGUCUGUGCAGGAAGACCAAGACACAGCUGCAGAGCUUCCUGCUGUCUCGCCAAGGUACACAACUGUCAUCAUAGUUCACCAUGUGGAUGAUGUGCAGCCGUCACACUGUUCGUGUGAUUUACAAUCGCUCCUGGUGUGAUGUCCCGGUCAAACUCUGGAUCCAUCUGAGAAGCAGAUUAGAACAACAUCACUUGCAGUAAUCAUAAAACCUCAACACAUGAGACUCUAAACACUUAUACUGUUUACUGACUGAAUGUAUGCUGGAUUUUUGUCUGAAUAAAAAAGGACAACAUUAAUAAAAAUAACUACCUGUGUGAGAUCCUGCAUGC